GAGAACAGCGUGGGGGAAACUGCCCCCAUGAUCCAAUCACCUCUCUCCCUCUACGUGUGAGAAUUGCAGGUCCUACCUCAACACGUGGGGACGGAGAUGAGAUUUGAGUAAGGACAAAGAACCAAGCCAUGUCAAUCGUAUUUUGUUAAGUACGAAAACAAGUUACGGAUCGGACCAUCGGUGACCUCCGGUAACUGGAACUGCGGGAAGUGAAACCAUGGAGAAGGGGAGACUGCUGUCACUAACAUAGCAGGGCCAAAUUG
rnacentral:lncRNA from 10 species